rnacentral:rRNA from 1 species
AGGAUAAACGCUGGCGGCGUGCCUAACACAUGCAAGUCGAACGCGCUUGCUAUCCGCGAGGACGGUGAGCGAGUGGCGGACGGGUGAGGAACACGUGGGUGACCUACCUUUCAGUGAGGGAUACCGGCGAGAAAUUGCCGACAAGACCGCAUACGCUUCUCUUUUCAAGGGGAGAAGGAAAGCUUUUCGCAAGAGAGGCGCUGGGAGAUGGGCCUGCGGCCGAUUAGCUAGCUGGUGGGGUAAUGGCCUACCAGGGCGACGAUCGGUAGCUGGUCUGAGAGGACGAUCAGCCACACUGGGAUUGAGAACGGCCCAGACUCCUACGGGGGGCAGCAGUGAGGAAUUUUCGGCAAUGGGGGCAACCCUGACCGAGCAACGCCGCGUGCAGGACGACGGCCUUCGGUUGUAAACUGCUUUCUCUGGGACGAGCAAGGACGGUACCAGAGGAAGAAGCCCCGGACUAACUACGCGCCAGCAGCCGCGGU